rnacentral:rRNA from 1 species
AUGGUUGCAAUGGAUAACGAUCAUCCCACAAACAUCAUGACCGACCAGGACAAAGCGAUGGCAACAACUAUUGAUGAUGUGUUGCCAAACACCUGCCAUAGGUGUUGCAAGUUUCAUGUGUUUAGCAAUGCACGUACCAAGUGGGGGAGGCUGUUGAGAAGAGAUGAAUCGUUUGCAGAUGUGUUCUACACUUGUAUCAAUCAAUCAGAAACCAUUGAGGAGUUUGAGGAAACAUGGCAACACAUGUUGCAUUGUUUUGAAGUGGCCGAGAACAAACACCUGAAGAACAUGUGGCGAACAAGGCACAUGUGGGCUCGAGCGUACUUCAAGAACAAAUUCUUCCCAUUCACAAGCACAACGGGCAGGUCUGAGGAGAUUAACUCAUAUUUCAAGACACUGAUUCGUCCGGCUGAUUCCGUUUGGAGGUUUGUCCAGCAAUACGAAAUGUGCCAAGAAACUAUGCUUGAUCGUGAAGACAAUGCUGGAUUCACUGGUGAAACAACAACUCCGCCACUAUACUCUCGGUACAACAUUGAGCGCCAAGCUGCUGCUUACUACACUCGUAGCGUCUUUGGCAAGUUCCAGAAGCAGGUGAUCGCAUCUACCGGCUUCGUUAUCAACCAAGACGCUGAGUAUUAA